rnacentral:snRNA from 1 species
GGCUGUGAGAGUGACCUGGGUGUGACAUCUAUCACCCCACUGAUUGGCAGAGUUAAUUCAGCUGAUUUAGCUGACUAUGUAGGUGUCUCCUUCCUCCCUCACUGCUACAUGUGUGUCCCUCCUAAACCUGCAUGCAUGGUGGAAGGGAUAGAUAGGAUGUAUACACAGAUCUUUGGUCAAGGCGGUACAACACAUACAUAGGGGGAGGGGAAU